GGACACGGGCACGGACACGGGCAUGGGCACGGGCACGGACACGGCCACGGACACGGCCACGGACACGCACAUGGCCACGGACACGGACACGCACAUGGCCACGGACACGGACACGGGCACGGACAUGGCCACUAAAAGGAAAGGACAGCCAUGGGCAGUUCCUGCAGCAGCGACUCCGACUAGAUGAACAGUGUUCGACGUGAACCUGGAGACCUUCAUGCUCCUGUCUUAUCAUUUGACUGCCUGCAGUUUCUUUACAAACGGAUUUAAUUAAGAAUUAACAGAGCUGACAAAGUUAUUUUAGACCAUUGUGAACCUUUACAGGCAUGAUUUUAUCCAGUGUUUGUCAGAAAAUAAAUAAAAGUGAUGAAAGUAUCAUCUUUAUGACAUUUUA